rnacentral:rRNA from 1 species
CCUGGCUCAGGACGAACGCUGGCGGCACGCUUAACACAUGCAAGUCGAACGAGAGAAGAGAAGCUUGCUUUUCUGAUCUAGUGGCGGACGGGUGAGUAACACGUGAGCAAUCUGCCUUUCAGAGGGGGAUACCGAUUGGAAACGAUCGUUAAUACCGCAUAAUAUAAUUGAACCGCAUGAUUUGAUUAUCAAAGAUUUAUCGCUGAAAGAUGAGCUCGCGUCUGAUUAGCUAGUUGGUAAGGUAACGGCUUACCAAGGCGACGAUCAGUAGCCGGACUGAGAGGUUGAUCGGCCACAUUGGGACUGAGACACGGCCCAGACUCCUACGGGAGGCAGCAGUGGGGAAUAUUGCACAAUGGAGGAAACUCUGAUGCAGCGAUGCCGCGUGAGGGAAGAAGGUUUUAGGAUUGUAAACCUCUGUCUUCAGGGACGAAAAAAGACGGUACCUGAGGAGGAAGCUCCGGCUAACUACGUGCCAGCAGCCGCGGUAAUACGUAGGGAGCGAGCGUUGUCCGGAAUUACUGGGUGUAAAGGGAGCGUAGGCGGGAUCGCAAGUCAGAUGUGAAAACUAUGGGCUUAACCCAUAAACUGCAUUUGAAACUGUGGUUCUUGAGUGAAGUAGAGGUAAGCGGAAUUCCUAGUGUAGCGGUGAAAUGCGUAGAUAUUAGGAGGAACAUCAGUGGCGAAGGCGGCUUACUGGGCUUUAACUGACGCUGAGGCUCGAAAGCGUGGGGAGCAAACAGGAUUAGAUACCCUGGUAGUCCACGCCGUAAACGAUGAUUACUAGGUGUGGGGGGACUGACCCCUUCCGUGCCGCAGCAAACGCAAUAAGUAAUCCACCUGGGGAGUACGACCGCAAGGUUGAAACUCAAAGGAAUUGACGGGGGCCCGCACAAGCAGUGGAGUAUGUGGAUUAAUUCGAAGCAACGCGAAGAACCUUACCAGGUCUUGACAUCGUAUGCAUAGCUCAGAGAUGAGUGAAAUCUCUUCGGAGACAUAUAGACAGGUGGUGCAUGGUUGUCGUCAGCUCGUGUCGUGAGAUGUUGGGUUAAGUCCCGCAACGAGCGCAACCCUUACUGUUAGUUGCUACGCAAGAGCACUCUAGCAGGACUGCCGUUGACAAAACGGAGGAAGGUGGGGAUGACGUCAAAUCAUCAUGCCCCUUAUGACCUGGGCCUCACACGUACUACAAUGGCUGUCAACAGAGGGAAGCAAAGCCGCGAGGUGGAGCGAACCCCUAAAAGCAGUCUUAGUUCGGAUUGUAGGCUGCAACCCGCCUACAUGAAGUCGGAAUUGCUAGUAAUCGCAGAUCAGCAUGCUGCGGUGAAUACGUUCCCGGGCCUUGUACACACCGCC